rnacentral:lncRNA from 1 species
UCAGGGUCACAUUCGUCUUUUCCUUACCAUCAACUUGAACUUGACACUUCUUCGAUGUUUCCUUACCUGGUCUAAAAUUUUCUUUACAAUAAACUUGAACUCCAAGUACUUCAAGAGGUUCCAAAUUCUCUUCACUCUCAAUUUUAACUUUGCCGCCAUCCAGUGGCAUUUCCUGUAAAUCUUUGCUCCUUUCCCUACCCUUUUUGGUAAGUUUACUCUCACUCUCAAUCUCUCCACCCUCUUCUAGUUCCAAAUUCUCCUUGCUUUCAAUUUGAACUUCGACACUCUCCGGUGGCAUUUCUUGUAAAUUCUUGUUCCUUCCCCUACCCUUUAUGGCAAUUUUACUCUGAUCUUCAAUCUGUCCACCUUCUAAUCCCAAAGUCUCGACGGGUUCCGCCUCCGCCUUCUUACGACCCCUAGUCGCUCUCACACUGGAAGUCCCGGGCACAUUCGCUUGACGCCUCGGAUUCCUCUUCGGCUUCGCGACCGACUCAAUUUGCAUUAACUCUAAAAUCAGAGGAAACACAAAUACAUAUUUCUAAAACUACCAAAAAUUAAUAAUAAUGUGCAUAUCUCUCAAAGGUUAUCCAUCUUCUUCUUCUUCUUCUCCUCGAUCAUGUACUUGUGAACUCUCUCAGCUUUACUUUUCAUCUCCUCUAUCAUCUCCUCUGUCGUAUUAAGGAUCUGCUUCCGCAAAUAAACCUCCAUAUAAUCAAACCACUCCCCCAGUGUCAUCUUCGCCAAAUCCACCUUCUGCUCUUGAACCCCAUUGUCCACUGUAUCCUCAACCUUAUCACAAGUUUCUUUAGCAUCUCCCUCUUUGGCCACUUCCUCUGAUUUCAAGUUUUCGUUACCAUCAGCUUGAACUUCACAAGUCUUGGAUACUUCCUCUGGAACCAGACGUUCCUUCCCUUCAGUUUCAACUUCACUACUCUGCGGUGGCAUUUCCUGUAAUUUCUUCUUCCUUCCUCUACCUUUUCGAGUAAUUUUACUCUCAGUCGCCGCCAUCUCUCCACGAUCACAUCCCAAAUUCAAUGCGUUCAUCCGGCUCCGAGUGACUCUCACACCAGCAGUCAGGGUCACAUUCGUCUUUUCCUUACCAUCAACUUGAACUUGACACUUCUUCGAUGUUUCCUUACCUGGUCUAAAAUUUUCUUUACAAUAAACUUGAACUCCAAGUACUUCAAGAGGUUCCAAAUUCUCUUCACUCUCAAUUUUAACUUUGCCGCCAUCCAGUGGCAUUUCCUGUAAAUCUUUGCUCCUUUCCCUACCCUUUUUGGUAAGUUUACUCUCACUCUCAAUCUCUCCACCCUCUUCUAGUUCCAAAUUCUCCUUGCUUUCAAUUUGAACUUCGACACUCUCCGGUGGCAUUUCUUGUAAAUUCUUGUUCCUCCCCCGACCCUUUUUGGUAAUUUUACUCUGAUCUUCAAUCUGUCCACCUUCUAAUCCGAAAGUCUCGACGGGUUCCGCCUCCGCCUUCGUACGACCCCUAGUCGCCCUCACACUGGAAGUCCCGGGCACAUUCGCUUGACGCCUCGGAUUCC